rnacentral:ncRNA from 1 species
AAAACGAUCAGUGGAACAAGUUACCCUAGGGAUAACAGGGCAGUCCUAUUCUAGAGCUCAUAUCAACAAUAGGGUUUAUGAUCUCGACAUUGGAUCUGAUGUCCCUGUGGUGUAGUUGCUAUUAAUGUUCAUUUGUUCGACGAUUAAAGUACUAUGGGAUCUGAGUUCAGACCACAGUAAUCUAGGUCAGUUUCUAUUU